GAUGAAGAACGUAGCGAAAUGCGAUAACUAAUGUGAAUUGCAGAAUUCCGUGAAUCAUCGAGUCUUUGAACGCACAUUGCGCCCCCUGGCAUUCCGGGGGGCAUGCCUGUCCGAGCGUCAUUUCUGCCCUCCAGCCCGGCUGGGUGUUGGGCGCUGUCCCCCCGGGGACACGCCCCAAAGGCAGUGGCGGCGCCGCGUCGGGUCCUCGAGCGUAUGGGGCUUUGUCACCCGCUCGGGACGGACUCGUCGGCGCUGGUCUUCCUCCAGGCGACCCUUCGGGGCUCGUCUUCCUUCGGUUGACCUCGGAUCAGGUAGGGUUACCCGCUGAACUUAAGCAUAUCAAUAAGCGGAGGA
rnacentral:misc_RNA from 1 species